AGAGUUUGAUCAUGGCUCAGAUUGAACGCUAGCGGGAUGCUUUACACAUGCAAGUCGAACGGCAGCACGAGAGAGCCUGCUCUCUUGGUGGCGAGUGGCGGACGGGUGAGUAAUAUAUCGGAACGUGCCCAGUAGCGGGGGAUAACUACUCGAAAGAGUGGCUAAUACCGCAUACGCCCUACGGGGGAAAGGGGGGGAUUCUUCGGAACCUCUCACUAUUGGAGCGGCCGAUAUCGGAUUAGCUAGUUGGUGGGGUAAAGGCUCACCAAGGCAACGAUCCGUAGCUGGUUUGAGAGGACGACCAGCCACACUGGGACUGAGACACGGCCCAGACUCCUACGGGAGGCAGCAGUGGGGAAUUUUGGACAAUGGGGGAAACCCUGAUCCAGCCAUCCCGCGUGUAUGAUGAAGGCCUUCGGGUUGUAAAGUACUUUUGGCAGAGAAGAAAAGGUACCUCCUAAUACGAGGUACUGCUGACGGUAUCUGCAGAAUAAGCACCGGCUAACUACGUGCCAGCAGCCGCGGUAAUACGUAGGGUGCAAGCGUUAAUCGGAAUUACUGGGCGUAAAGCGUGUGUAGGCGGUUCGGAAAGAAAGAUGUGAAAUCCCAGGGCUCAACCUUGGAACUGCAUUUUUAACUGCCGAGCUAGAGUAUGUCAGAGGGGGGUAGAAUUCCACGUGUAGCAGUGAAAUGCGUAGAUAUGUGGAGGAAUACCGAUGGCGAAGGCAGCCCCCUGGGAUAAUACUGACGCUCAGACACGAAAGCGUGGGGAGCAAACAGGAUUAGAUACCCUGGUAGUCCACGCCCUAAACGAUGUCAACUAGCUGUUGGGGCCGUUAGGCCUUAGUAGCGCAGCUAACGCGUGAAGUUGACCGCCUGGGGAGUACGGUCGCAAGAUUAAAACUCAAAGGAAUUGACGGGGACCCGCACAAGCGGUGGAUGAUGUGGAUUAAUUCGAUGCAACGCGAAAAACCUUACCUACCCUUGACAUGUCUGGAAUCCCGAAGAGAUUUGGGAGUGCUCGCAAGAGAACCGGAACACAGGUGCUGCAUGGCUGUCGUCAGCUCGUGUCGUGAGAUGUUGGGUUAAGUCCCGCAACGAGCGCAACCCUUGUCAUUAGUUGCUACGCAAGAGCACUCUAAUGAGACUGCCGGUGACAAACCGGAGGAAGGUGGGGAUGACGUCAAGUCCUCAUGGCCCUUAUGGGUAGGGCUUCACACGUCAUACAAUGGUCGGGACAGAGGGUCGCCAACCCGCGAGGGGGAGCCAAUCUCAGAAACCCGAUCGUAGUCCGGAUCGCAGUCUGCAACUCGACUGCGUGAAGUCGGAAUCGCUAGUAAUCGCGGAUCAGAAUGUCGCGGUGAAUACGUUCCCGGGUCUUGUACACACCGCCCGUCACACCAUGGGAGUGGGUUUCACCAGAAGUAGGUAGCCUAACCGCAAGGAGGGCGCUUACCACGGUGGGAUUCAUGACUGGGGUGAAGUCGUAACAAGGUAACC
rnacentral:rRNA from 1 species